GACGGAGGGUGCAAGCGUUGUUCGGAAUUACUGGGCGUAAAGCGCGGGCAGGUGGCCUUUUAAGUCCUUUGUGAAAUCCCGGGGCUCAACUCCGGAUGUGCAUAGGAUACUGGAAGGCUCGAGACAGGUAGAGGCGAGCGGAAUUCCUGGUGUAGCGGUGGAAUGCGUAGAUAUCAGGAAGAACACCGGUGGCGAAGGCGGCUCGCUGGGCCUGUUCUGACACUCAUCCGCGAAAGCGUGGGGAGCAAACAGG
rnacentral:rRNA from 1 species